UGGGCAACCUGCCCUCAGCUCUGGGAUAACUCCAAGAAAUUGGGGCUAAUACCGGAUAUGACUGCUGACCGCAUGGUCUGGUGGUGGAAAGAUUUAUCGCCAUUGGAUGGGCCCGCGUCGGAUUAGCUAGUUGGUGAGGUAACGGCUCACCAAGGCAACGAUCCGUAGCUGGUCUGAGAGGAUGAUCAGCCACACUGGGACUGAGACACGGCCCAGACCUCCG
rnacentral:rRNA from 1 species